UACGGAGGGUGCGAGCGUUAUCCGGAUUCACUGGGUUUAAAGGGUGCGUAGGUGGUUUUGUAAGUCAGUGGUGAAAUCCCGGAGCUCAACUCCGGAACUGCCAUUGAUACUGCUUAACUUGAAUCAACUUGAGGUGGAUGGAAUAUUACAUGUAGCGGUGAAAUGCUUAGAGAUGUAAUAGAACACCGAUUGCGAAGGCAGUUCACUAAGGUUGUAUUGACACUGAGGCACGAAAGCGUGGGGAUCAAACAGG
rnacentral:rRNA from 1 species